rnacentral:misc_RNA from 1 species
AACGGUCUAUACCUGCGGUACCUGCGGAAGGAUCAUUAUCGAGUUGCAAAACUCCCUAAACCAUUGUGAACCUACCUGUACCGUUCCUUCGGCGGGCGGCGUCAAGCCCUAACCCGGUCCCCUUUACGGGGGAUGGACCCGCCGGAGGCUCCUAAACUCUUAAUUUUAGUUGGCAUCUCUGAGUAAAUCAAAAUAAGUCAAAACUUUUAACAACGGAUCUCUAGAUCGGAAGAGCACACG